AUACUUACCCGGACGGGGUCGAUGGGCGAUCAAUAAGACCAUGGCCUAGGUUGGUGACCUCCAUUGCUCUUUGGAGGGGUGCCUGCUUAAGGUUGGCCCAAGUGGCCGAGCCUAUGCCAUAAUUUGUGAUAACGGAUUUGUUAAUUGUACUUGGUGUCUGA
rfam:Capsicum annuum cultivar Zunla-1 chromosome 1, whole genome shotgun sequence